CAUGACACGUUUUCCAUUUAAUAUGUUAAACAUUGACGGUGAUUCUUGAAGCUCUAUCUUUGAAACCGUUAACACUCGACUGAA